UACGUAGGGUGCAAGCGUUAAUCGGAAUUACUGGGCGUAAAGCGUGCGCAGGCGGCUUUGCAAGACAGAUGUGAAAUCCCCGGGCUCAACCUGGGAACUGCAUUUGUGACUGCAAGGCCAGAGUACGGUAGAGGGGGAUGGAAUUCCGCGUGUAGCAGUGAAAUGCGUAGAUAUGCGGAGGAACACCGAUGGCGAAGGCAAUCCCCUGGACCUGUACUGACGCUCAUGCACGAAAGCGUGGGGAGCAAACAGG
rnacentral:rRNA from 1 species